GACAAGAGGGUGUGGGAGCCUGGGCAGACUGGCGCAGUCUUGAUGAACCGGGGGACUUGAGGGGCCCGCAGUGUUAAAAGUGCGGCAUCCUCAAGCGCUGAAAGGUGUGGUCCGGAUAACUCAGCUGAUCAUUCAUGUGGCCACACUCGAUGAGUGAUGUAAAAACAGCAAAAAGAAUGUAUAACAAUGACAACCAUGAUGACAAAACACCUAUGUCAUAAGGUAUGGAUGGAAGAAAGUAGAAUCGAGGUCCCUGGGACAUUGUGGAACUACAGAAGCCUGGGAUUGCAUCAUCAGUUUGAACACGUUGGAAGAAAAAAGCCUUUGAAGACGGGGAGGCCCCUCCACCAGAUCAGAUGAGGGCAAUGCUGCAUCCUGGUUCACAGAUCUCUGCUUACAUCAAAGCUUGUAUAAGUACCGUGAGGAUAAACUAGGAGUCAUGAACUCCCUUUAUGUGUUCCUUUGCCUGCUUUACACCAUUAUUCAUGCCUUAAUUGUUACAUUGGGAUGAGUGACCUCGCCUGAUUUGUUAGAGCUGCUGGAGCUGAGGCUUCUGCUCUAAAACUCCACUUACAACUUGGGUCCCAACACUCCCCCACACUGCAUUUUAAAUGAACCCAUCCAUCUAUGGUAUUUACCAGCUUGCGAAUUCUGUCCAAGACAAGAUCAAUGAUCUCCUUGCCGAUGGUGUAGUGGCCACGGGCAUAGUUAUUGGCAGCAUCUUCCUUGCCUGUGAUGAGCUGCUCAGGGUGGAAGAGCUGGCGGUAGGUACCAGUGCGAACUUCAUCUGGAAAAGGAGAUGAAAUCAAUCAUUCACAACAGUAACUGACACACACAAGCUCACUCACUCUUUGGCGGUGUGUGGAGAGGUUCUGAAUAUGUGACCAGGACAGAAUGCCUCAGGGAAGCCCCUGGCCCACUUACCGAUGACUGUGGGUUCCAGGUCUACGAACACGGCCCGGGGCACAUGCUUGCCAGCGCCUGUCUCACUGAAGAAGGUGUUGAAGGAGUCAUCUCCUCCCCCGAUGGUCUUGUCACUUGGCAUCUGGCCGUCAGGCUGGAUGCCAUGUUCCAGGCAGUAGAGCUCCCAGCAGGCAUUGCCGAUCUGGACACCAGCCUGGCCAACGUGGAUGGAGAUGCACUCACGCUGUGGAAAAGGGGGAAAAAUUAUGAAAUUAAGCUGUAUUUCUAUUUUAGAUUUUAAUAGAUUUCUAAAGUGUUUCUAAUAACACAAAUAUUGUUGAAAUUUAUUUGGAGUCAUAUCCCUCAUAUGACAGAAACAAUAAUGAGUACCUGAUACAAAUACUGCAAAGGGGUGUGGUCUGAAUAAUGUCACCUUAAUACUAAGACUUGGUGCAAACCCAUUGUUCUCACAGCCAUACUUAAAUAGAAGAGUUUUCAUGUUCGAAAAAUACUUAAUACACUGAUACUGUAAAGUGAAAUAAUUGUCUGGAAUUAUUUUAAUUGCUUCUUUUCCUGAUAAGUAAAGAUGAAUGCUUCAUC